rnacentral:rRNA from 1 species
CCGAGUUUACAACUCCCAAACCCAAUGUGAACGUUACCAAACUGUUGCCUCGGCGGGAUCUUCUGCCCCGGGUGCGUCGCAGCCCCGGACCAAGGCGCCCGCCGGAGGAAUCAACCAAAACUCUUAUUGUAUACCCCCUCGCGGGUUUUUUUUUAUAAUCUGAGCCUUCUCGGCGCCUCUCGUAGGCGUUUCGAAAAUGAAUCAAAACUUUCAACAACGGAUCUCUUGGUUCUGGCAUCGAUGAAAAACGCAGCGAAAUGCGAUAAGUAAUGUGAAUUGCAAAAUUCAGUGAAUCAUCGAAUCUUUGAACGCACAUUGCGCCCGCCAGUAUUCUGGCGGGCAUGCCUGUCCGAGCGUCAUUUCAACCCUCGAACCCCUCCGGGGGGUCGGCGUUGGGGAUCGGCCUUCCUUCACGGGGGCCGUCUCCGAAAUACAGUGGCGGUCUCGCCGCAGCCUCUCCUGCGCAGUAGUUUGCACACUCGCAUCGGGAGCGCGGCGCGUCCACAGCCGUUAAACACCCAACUUUCUGAAAUGUUGACCUCGGAUCAGGUAGGAAUACCCGCUGAACUUAAGCAUAUCAAA